rnacentral:ncRNA from 2 species
CUCUUAUCCAGAGGGGUGGAGGGAUCGGCCCGCUGAAACCCCGGCAACCUGACCCAGAUUGAUCAUGGUUUAUCUGGGGCAAUGGUGCCAAUUCCGACAGGCGUGUGUGUAAAGCCUGAAAGAUGAGAG